AUGGCCCUCGCCUUCACCUCCUCCGUCCCCUUCCCGGCCGCCGCUGCCCCCGGUCUGCUGCAGCAGCAGCAGCAGCAGGUCCACGUCGUCGGAGGCGGCCGCGUGCUCCUCCUCGGGUCAGCACCGUCGCCGGGCUCGGGCACGUUGGUCCUUGCUGUGUCUGUGCCGGCAGUCGGAGGUGCGAAGGCGCCGGCUCCCCUUCGCUGCGCCUGCGCCGCUGGAGACAAUGCUUCGCCGUCCGACAAGGAGAAGGCCUUUCUGGAGGCCAUGGAGGAAGCGCGCGGCAAGUUCCACGCCGUCAUCAGCGCCGGCGACAAGACCGUCCUGGAGCGCCUCGCCAUCACCGCCAAGGACAGCCUUGGCCUCCUGGCGAGCAUGACGAAGGAUCAUCCCUUCCCGCUCCCCGACGCCAUGUACCAGGAGGUGGCGCGCAUCACUUGGGCGUUCCUGGAGGUAGAGGGCGAGUGCGAGGGCGGCUACGCCAGCGCCGACACCGUGCUGGCCGCCAUCGAUGCCUUGCGCAACAUGUCCGUGACCUUCCUCGGCUCCGGCGUGGAUGACCCGGAGUGGCACCCGGCUUUUCUCGGCGACGUCUCCGACGAGGAAGACAAGGCCAACUACCUGCUCAACCUGGCCAACGGCUUCUGCCUGUUCCACUUUAAGCUGCUGUGUCGUUACCGCCAGGCUUCUCCGGCCAUGGAGGAGGAGGCUCCCGUCGUCGCCUACAAGUACCCGUACCAGGCCAUGCUGGUGCAGAAUGACAAGGAUCUCGCCGAGCACCUCCGCACCACCGCCAAGGACUGCCAAGGAUUCCUCGCAAGAAUGAUGGCCAAAGUUCGCGUCUUGCCUCUCCCCGAUGUCGUCUGCGAGGAGCUCAUUGCCAUCGGCAAGUCCUUUGUCAGGGUCGAGGUCGAAUGCGACAAGGGAUGCGCCACCACCGGCAGCGUCGUGGCUGCGAUGGACGGCCUCACGCGCGUCACCGAGAUCAUCGCCGGCAGUGGCAGGGCGAAAACCCUCAAGCCCUACGACCUGAGGCCCACCGUCGCCAUCACCGGCGACCAAGAGAAGCUGGCCUUCAUGUGGGAUUUGGCCGCCGCAUUCAGCGUCCACUUCUACGACGUCAAGUUCCGUUGCGCUGACUUCUUCUGA
rnacentral:rRNA from 1 species